rnacentral:rRNA from 1 species
UGUUUCGGCUAGGGGGCCAUCCCGGCUUACCAACCCGAUGCAAACUGCGAAUACCGGAGAAUGUUAUCACGGGAGACACACGGCGGGUGCUAACGUCCGUCGUGAAGAGGGAAACAACCCAGACCGCCAGCUAAGGUCCCAAAGUCAUGGUUAAGUGGGAAACGAUGUGGGAAGGCCCAGACAGCCAGGAUGUUGGCUUAGAAGCAGCCAUCAUUUAAAGAAAGCGUAAUAGCUCACUGGUCGAGUCGGCCUGCGCGGAAGAUGUAACGGGGCUAAACCAUGCACCGAAGCUGCGGCAGCGAACGUAUCACUUAAAGCGAUUCAGCGGGUUACGAUUGACGGAGCGAAGCGACGUCAAAGCGUAUACAAAGUCGAGUCGGUUUAAGGAUACGUUCGUUGGGUAGGGGAGCGUUCUGUAAGCCUGUGAAGGUGGCCUGUGAGGGUUGCUGGAGGUAUCAGAAGUGCGAAUGCUGACAUAAGUAACGAUAAAGCGGGUGAAAAGCCCGCUCGCCGGAAGACCAAGGGUUCCUGUCCAACGUUAAUCGGGGCAGGGUGAGUCGACCCCUAAGGCGAGGCCGAAAGGCGUAGUCGAUGGGAAACGGGUUAAUAUUCCCGUACUUGGUGUUACUGCGAAGGGGGGACGGAGAAGGCUAUGUUGGCCGGGCGACGGUUGUCCCGGUUUAAGCGUGUAGGUGUGUGUUCCAGGUAAAUCCGGUUCACUUUAACACUGAGGCGUGACGACGAGGCACUACGGUGCUGAAGCAACAAAUGCCCUGCUUCCAGGAAAAGCCUCUAAGCAUCAGGUAACAUCAAAUCGUACCCCAAACCGACACAGGUGGUCAGGUAGAGAAUACCAAGGCGCUUGAGAGAACUCGGGUGAAGGAACUAGGCAAAAUGGUGCCGUAACUUCGGGAGAAGGCACGCUGACAC